AUUGAACGCUGGCGGCAGGCCUAACACAUGCAAGUCGAGCGAGCGGCGGACGGGGGAGUAAUAUCUGGGAAACUGCCUGAUGGAGGGGGAUAAAUACUGGAAACGGUAGCUAAUACCGCAUACCAUCAGAGGUGCCCAGAUGGGAGUAGCGAGUAGGUGGGGGAACGGCCCAACUAGGCGACGCUACCUAGCUGGUCUGAGAGGGUGACCAGCCACACUGGAACUGAGACACGGUCCAGACUCCUACGGGAGGCAGCAGUGGGGAAUAUUGCACAAUGGGCGCAAGCCUGAUGCAGCCAUGCCUCGUGUGUGAAGAAGGCCUUCGGGUUGUAAAGCACUUUCAGCGGGGAGGCGGUACCCGCAGAAGAAGCACCGGCUAACUCCGUGCCAGCAGCCGCGGUAAUUC
rnacentral:rRNA from 1 species